GAUGAACGCUGGCGGCGUGCCUAAUACAUGCAAGUCGAGCGAACAGACGAGGAGCUUGCUCCUCUGACGUUAGCGGCGGACGGGUGAGUAACACGUGGAUAACCUACCUAUAAGACUGGGAUAACUUCGGGAAACCGGAGCUAAUACCGGAUAAUAUAUUGAACCGCAUGGUUCAAUAGUGAAAGACGGUUUUGCUGUCACUUAUAGAUUGAUCCGCGCCGCAUUAGCUAGUUGGUAAGGUAACAGCUUACCAAGGCAACGAUGCGUAGCCGACCUGAGAGGGUGAUCGGCCACACUGGAACUGAGACACGGUCCAGACUCCUACGGGAGGCAGCAGUAGGGAAUCUUCCGCAAUGGGCGAAAGCCUGACGGAGCAACGCCGCGUGAGUGAAGAAGGUCUUCGGAUCGUAAAACUCUUUUAUUCGGGAAGAACAAAUGUGUAAGUAACUAUGCACGUCUUGACGGUACCUAAACAGAAAGCCACGGCUAACUACGUG
rnacentral:rRNA from 1 species